rnacentral:lncRNA from 1 species
AACUUACCCCGGAACGGGACGCCAAAAAGCGCAGGGCCAAGGGCCACAGAGCCCCUGCACCCUGGAGACAGCCGGGAGAGCCCGAAGCUAGCUGCGAAGACUCUUCUCUGGUUUCGUUCCGGGCGAGCCUGGAAGGUGGUCUGUGGGUCGGGCUCCCUCCCCCUGCAGCGGAGGCUGCCAGGGCUCCGCGCCCCCACUCCCGCAGCUCUCAGCUCCGUGCCUCUGCGGGCAGCCCGGGCUGCCUUUGCUCUCGCCGCGGGUCGAAGCCCGAGGUCCAGCCCAGGCUGCCGCAGGCACUGCUCCGCAUCCUUCACCUCCGCGCCGGCAUCAUUUGUAAGUCCACUGAGCGCGGGUUUCCCUUCCUCCUCAGCGCCGCGGGGGUCGGACAGCAGCGGCAGCGCUUGGUCCCGGAGUCCCCUCCCCUCACCAUGCCAGGGGCUCUUCCCCGGGCGUCAGCAGGCACCAGCGCCCCCGAGCGCUCCUCGCCCUUGUCCUGGGAUCUGUGCUUUUAUUGUCCCGGGUCAGUUUCACUUUGUAAUCCUCCAGGCUUUGUGUUUGGAGUGGGGUGGGUCCCUCCGUCGCGGUCCCCGCGGGCGAUGGGGGCGCGGAGGUGCGGGGCAGCUGCUCGGUGCGCCUCGUGGACGCGCUCCUUUGCAGCCGGGACUCCGAGGUGGCACUUCGACGUAUCUGGAGCCCGGCGAGUCCCCCACUGCCUCUCCUGGUCCCUCGCACUCUCCCCGCCCCUUCCCCGCUGCGCGCACACAAGCACUCGCACACACGCGCGCACACACGGAGGGGGAGGGUUGUCCGCGAUCGCGAGCAGGACUGAGAAACUUUGCUCGCCCCUCGGUGCUCCCGGACUCCAGUGGCCGCCACUCCCCUGCUCUGGUCCUGUCACCCGCGGGCCCUGCCCCGCUACAGCUCAUUGGCCACAGCCCCGCCCCGCGUCCCCGCCGCCCUAGCCUCCAGCCGCCACUGGCUGGGGCGACGCUCGUCACCGUGGCCUCCGAGGCUGUGGGCGGGAGGUGGGCGAGCCCCACGGCGGCGGAGGCGCUAAGAAGGGGGCGACCACCCCCAACUCCUUUCUAUUUAUUUAUUUUCCCUUUUGGUCAAACCUUGGCAGGCGUAGGCGCAAUCACAGCAAGAGGCAGCCGCAGAAUAGAUGGAGGUGGGGUCAGGUUUGGAAAUAAGUUUAGUGUCCGGAGCUGGGGGUGCCAUUAG